UACGUAGGGGGCAAGCGUUGUCCGGAAUCAUUGGGCGUAAAGAGCGUGUAGGCGGCCAGAAAAGUCCGCUGUGAAAACUCGAGGCUCAACCUCGAGACGCCGAUGGAAACCAUCGAACUAGAGUCCGGAAGAGGAGAGUGGAAUUCCUGGUGUAGCGGUGAAAUGCGCAGAUAUCAGGAAGAACACCCGUGGCUAAGGCGGCUCUCUAGUACGGUACUGACGCUGAGACGCGAAAGCGUGGGGAGCGAACAGG
rnacentral:rRNA from 1 species